UACGGGGGGGGCAAGCGUUGUUCGGAAUUACUGGGCGUAAAGCGCACGUAGGCGGCUUUGUAAGUUAGAGGUGAAAGCCCGGGGCUCAACCCCGGAAUUGCCUUUAAGACUGCAUCGCUAGAAUUGUGGAGAGGUAAGUGGAAUUCCGAGUGUAGAGGUGAAAUUCGUAGAUAUUCGGAAGAACACCAGUGGCGAAGGCGACUUACUGGACACAUAUUGACGCUGAGGUGCGAAGGCGUGGGGAGCAAACAGG
rnacentral:rRNA from 1 species